rnacentral:rRNA from 1 species
AUGUCAGCAGCCGCGGUAAUACGUAGGUGGCGAGCGUUGUCCGGAAUUACUGGGUGUAAAGGGCGUGUAGGCGGGGAUGCAAGUCAGAUGUGAAAUACCGCGGCUUAACCGCGGGGCUGCAUCUGAAACUGUGUCUCUUGAGUGUCGGAUAGGAAAGCGGAAUUCCCAGUGUAGCGGUGAAAUGCGUAGAGAUUGGGAGGAAUACCAGUGGCGAAAGCGGCUUUCUGGACGACAACUGACGCUGAGGCGCGAAAGCCAGGGGAGCAAACAGGAUUAGAUACCCUGGUAGUCCACGCUGUAAACGAUGGAUACUAGGUGUAGGAGGUAUCGACCCCUUCUGUGCCGGAGUUAACACAAUAAGUAUCCCGCCUGGGGAGUACGGCCGCAAGGUUGAAACUCAAAGGAAUUGGCGG